AUGCGCAGAUAUCAGGAAGGAACACCGAGGCGAAGGCAGGUCUCUGGUCAAUUAACUGACGCUGAGGAGCGAAAGCAUGGGGGAGCGAACAGGAUUAGAUACCCUGGUAGUUCAUGCCGUAAAACGUUGGGCACUAGGUGUGGGGGACAUUCCACGUUUUCCGCGCCGUAGCUAACGCAUUAAGUGCCCCGCCUGGGGAGUACGGCCGCAAGGCUAAAACUCAAAGGAAUUGACGGGGGCCCGCACAAGCGGCGGAGCAUGCGGAUUAAUUCGAUGCAACGCGAAGAACCUUACCAAGGCUUGACAUGGACCGGACCGCCGCAGAGAUGUGGUUUCUCCUUUUGGGGCCGGUUCACAGGUGGUGCAUGGUUGUCGUCAGCUCGUGUCGUGAGAUGUUGGGUUAAGUCCCGCAACGAGCGCAACCCUCGUUCCAUGUUGCCAGCGCGUAAUGGCGGGGACUCAUGGGAGACUGCCGGGGUCAACUCGGAGGAAGGUGGGGACGACGUCAAAUCAUCAUGCCCCUUAUGUCUUGGGCUUCACGCAUGCUACAAUGGCCGGUACAAAGGGUUGCGAUACUGUGAGGUGGAGCUAAUCCCAAAAAGCCGGUCUCAGUUCGGAUUGGGGUCUGCAACUCGACCCCAUGAAGUCGGAGUCGGUAGUAAUCGCAGAUCAGCAACGCUGCGGUGAAUACGUUCCCGGGCCUUGUACACACCGCCCGUCAAGUCACGAAGGUUGGUAACACCCGAAGCCGGUGGCCUAACCCCUUGUGGGAGGGAGCCGUCGAAGGUGGGACUGGCGAUUGGGAUAAGUCGUAACAAGGUAGCCGAAUC
rnacentral:rRNA from 1 species